rnacentral:lncRNA from 1 species
UUCCAUUGGAAGAUUUUAGCAAGUUGGCUAAGAUCAAGGGCUGUAUGUGGGGAAAUUCGCUCAAUUUCUCCAAGCUUUUCCUGCAGAAACCCUCAUACAUGCUUCUGGGCACACUGAGGUCCCCUGGAACUGAGGCUGCUUUCAACACCAAGGAGUGUUGCCAUGAAGUGGGCACCCACAGUGGCUAGCUUCCUACAGAGCUUACGACCAGGGAGCUGUAACUUCUGCUCUGAUGUCUGGACUCUGCCAGAACCAUUGUAUGAGCCAGGAAGUUAGAGAACCAGUAGCUUUGUCUGGAAAUCAGAGUUCUGAGCAUGUUUUGGCCAUACCAUGGAAGGUCUUUUGGGCUGCAUGGAUGCAAAUUGAGUGCCAGAUAAAAUACCUGUG